rnacentral:rRNA from 1 species
GACGACCGCGGGCGGCGUGCUUAAUACAUGCAAGUAGAACGCUGAAGGAGGAGCUUGCUUCUCUGGAUGAGUUGCGAACGGGUGAGUAACGCGUAGGUAACCUGCCUGGUAGCGGGGGAUAACUAUUGGAAACGAUAGCUAAUACCGCAUAAGAGUAGAUGUUGCAUGACAUUUGCUUAAAAGGUGCAAUUGCAUCACUACCAGAUGGACCUGCGUUGUAUUAGCUAGUUGGUGGGGUAACGGCUCACCAAGGCGACGAUACAUAGCCGACCUGAGAGGGUGAUCGGCCACACUGGGACUGAGACACGGCCCAGACUCCUACGGGAGGCAGCAGUAGGGAAUCUUCGGCAAUGGACGGAAGUCUGACCGAGCAACGCCGCGUGAGUGAAGAAGGUUUUCGGAUCGUAAAGCUCUGUUGUAAGAGAAGAACGAGUGUGAGAGUGGAAAGUUCACACUGUGACGGUAUCUUACCAGAAAGGGACGGCUAACUACGUGCCAGCAGCCGCGGUAAUACGUAGGUGGCAAGCGUUAUCCGGAUUUAUUGGGCGUAAAGAGAGUGCAGGCGGUUUUCUAAGUCUGAUGUGAAAGCCUUCGGCUUAACCGGAGAAGUGCAUCGGAAACUGGAUAACUUGAGUGCAGAAGAGGGUAGUGGAACUCCAUGUGUAGCGGUGGAAUGCGUAGAUAUAUGGAAGAACACCAGUGGCGAAGGCGGCUACCUGGUCUGCAACUGACGCUGAGACUCGAAAGCAUGGGUAGCGAACAGG